UCUGGUCAGGACGAACGCUGGCGGCGUGCUUAACACAUGCAAGUCGAGCGAUGAAGCUUCUUCGGAAGUGGAUUAGCGGCGGACGGGUGAGUAACACGUGGGUAACCUGCCUCAUAGAGGGGAAUAGCCUUCCGAAAGGAAGAUUAAUACCGCAUAAGAUUGUAAUAUCGCAUGAUAUAGCAAUUAAAGGAGCAAUCCGCUAUGAGAUGGACCCGCGUCGCAUUAGCUAGUUGGUGAGGUAACGGCUCACCAAGGCGACGAUGCGUAGCCGACCUGAGAGGGUGAUCGGCCACAUUGGGACUGAGACACGGCCCAGACUCCUACGGGAGGCAGCAGUGGGGAAUAUUGCACAAUGGGGGAAACCCUGAUGCAAGCAACGCCGCGUGAGUGAUGACGGUCUUCGGAUUGUAAAGCUCUGUCUUCAGGGACGAUAAUGACGGUACCUGAGGAGGAAGCCACGGCUAACUACGUGCCAGCCGCCGC
rnacentral:rRNA from 1 species